AUAUAUGCAUAUUAUUACUAAUAUAAUGUUCUUAACAACUAGUCACUUUUUAGUGUUAAGUCCAAAAGAAUAACUAACACUACGAAGUUUUGGAUGCAUGAGUUGGAACUUGCAAAUGUUAGCCAAACACCAACUAGCUAGACGCUCCAUUUCUAGUUACUUUUAUUAUUGUUUCUGGCUACUGGGGACCUAACUUUCUAUUAAAAAUUGGAGAAUUAAGUUAGAGCUGAAUUAUAAAACCAAGCAUUCUAAUUAUGGUUCAAUAAUAUAUUUCUUCGAGAAAUUAUGCUAAAUGAAGCACGCCUAUUGUUAUUCAAACAAUCUGCUUAAUCUGUUAUAAAAACUACUAUUUUAUCCAAUGUUUUUUUAUACAACUAUAUAUAUAUUAAGUGUAGAUAUAUAUUGUAGAUAAUUAAAUUUAUCGUCGAAUCAUAUAGUUCCACAUAUAAAUUCAUGAUUAAAUAUUCAAUUAUAUUUUCUAUUUUGUUAAAAGAGAUGUUAUACUCCCUCCCAUUUUGUAUAAGAGUCAUUUUAGUCGUGUGCUGUAUAAAUAUUAAUGAAUAAAUUUUAUACCCAUCGUAACCUUAUUUAAUGAUAAUUUUCAUAUAUAAUAGUUAUAUGUGAUUAUUGAGCCAUCUUAACAAUCUUUUUUAAUAUUCAAAUUAUAACUCUUCGUUUUUAUCUCUGCGAGGAAAAUGAGCAAACUAAAAUAUGCUUUUUGUCAGGAAAUGAGCAAACUAAUGUAUUGCAACUAAAAUGUGAAAUGAGCAAACUAACUUUUGAUAUUCUUCUAAUGCUUAAUUUUGUCAGGAGCUAGCUUUCAUAUCAAUAAAAAAUAAUUGAUUUGUUAUUCAAAUUAAGGAACUUUGAAGAAGUUUGAUAGGAAAAAGUAGAAAUAAGAGUUUGAAAUGGAGAGAAGGAGGGUUCAUCAAAUAUUGUGAGGAAGAGGAAGAAAUGAAAGAUAUUAAUGAUAGAGUUAAUUAAUGAAGUUAAAUUUGGAACAUAUAUCUUAAACUAUAUAUAAAAAGAAAUUAAUGAAGAACACUAAAAUGAUUUAUAUAAAAAAUGGGAGGGAGUAAUUAGUAUUUAAUACUCCCUCCGUCCAUGAAAGAACUUCUUAGGAGGGAGUAACACGAGUUUUAAGAAAGAAUAUUGUUGAGUGUAUUGAGAGUGGAUAAAAGGUAGUUGAGUGUAUUGAGAGUGGUGAAAAGGUGUUAUAAUUAAUAUCGGGAGUUGUGAAAAGUGAAAAGUAAGAGGAUUAUAAGUGGUGGUGUAUAGUCCAAAAAUAGGUAGGAAGUUCUUUUGUGGACGUCCCAAAAAGAAAAGAUAAGAAGUUCUUUCGUGGACGGAGGGAGUAUAAAUUAUUUUAUUUGUCCAUUAUUACCACCUAAACCCUAAAGCCCAUUAUAUAUAGGUACAAAGCCCAUCUCCCUACAUCUUUAAAUAGGGGUGUUGGGGUAGGCAUAAGAGCAUCUCCAAUGGGGGGCAAUAUAAGGUGGUCCCCACCUUAGAGUUACCUCUUUAGUGCAUUGAUUCUACAAGGGGCUCUAUAAUAUUCAUUUCCAUUUUAUCCCAUUUUUUUUACUCUUCAAUUUUAAAAUUCAAUAUUUCAUUAAAAUUAAAUUCCAACAUUACAUUAAUUAUAAUAAAAUAAUACACUUAAAAUAAAAUAAAAUAAUUUAAAUUAUAAUAAUUUAAUUAUGGCUCAAUUCGGACCAAAACGAGCCCAAAUAUGCUCCUUCACAUAUGAGGUGAGGCGAUCGUAAAGGUCGCGAUCUCGCAUGGAGGAUUGUCGAGUCAAAUACGCUCAAAAAUUUUCGACGGAGCUCCGAUGUGAGUACGAGAUGUUGCUGAGCUACUUGAAGCCUCGUCGGUGUAAAGCUAGGUCUGCCAAGUACGUCUGGGCAUUGUUGAAAGUAAAGAUCAUACUGAACAAUAUUGACGAUGCGCCAAAACAAGGGGUGGCGCAUACGAAAACGGUGCCGGAACAACGAAUUGGUGUUGACAAGAUUUGGGGCAAAAUAAUCCUCGUAAAGUCGUUGUGUGCUGGCUUCACAAUCCCGACGAAUGUAAGCUUUCUUCAUUUGUCUCCUUCGUUUAGGGGUAGCUUUCAUAAAAAUUGCGACACAAGUUGAGCGAAUUGGACAGUGUGUUGCUCGUCGGAGCUUGAGUCGGAGGAAGAUUGAGAAGAUGAUGAUGACAUUUUGCUAGAAAGAAGAAGAUUGUACGAAGAUUGAGAAGAAAAAUAGUGUGUGAAAUGAAGUAGAAAUUAAGUGAUAUUUAUAAAAGGAAAAAAGAGAGGCAAAAGUGUCGUUCAACGACCAUCUGCCAAAAUAAUAAUAAUAAUAAUAAUUAUUAUUAUUAUUAUUAUUAUUACUCCUUCCGUCCCAGUAAUCUUGACACAUUUAGUUUCGACACGGGAAUUAAGGAGUUGUAGAUUANUCACUAUUGCUAAUUAAAUCAUUAACUUUUUCUAAUUUAUAAAUUCAAUUUGACUUUUAAAACACAUAGCAAAAAAUAAGUAAUCAAUCUUUUAAUUUUUGCAAUUAAAAUUCCUUUAAUUAAUGUUUUUGGCCAUAUAAAACGCUUUAUAGGGGAAAGGUUCUACCCCGGUGCUAUGUUUCAUAUAGUGAAUAUUGGUUCCGAUUUUCUUACUCUUGUGGGGAAAAAAAUUAUCUAACCGCAAAUGUAGGUUGUCUGUCAUUGCAAUACUACUGUAUUGUCAGACUUAUUAGUCGUUAGGCCCGAAAUGACAAUUUAAUAUAUACAAAGUGAAUAUACGUUACCACUGUAUUUUAGAUGGAGCCAUACAUAGAGGGUCCAACCCAAUUCUUAAAUUGCAUCAUUAAUUAUAUGCCAAACGCCCCACCAUUUUUUUCUGCAAUAGUUUUUCAAUAGUUAAAAUUUUUGUCUGCAAUAGUUAAUAAGUAUUUAUUUUCAAUAUGUUAUAUAUAUGCAUAUUAUUACUAAUAUAAUGUUCUUAACAACUAGUCACUUUUUAGUGUUAAGUCCAAAAGAAUAACUAACACUACGAAGUUUUGGAUGCAUGAGUUGGAACUUGCAAAUGUUAGCCAAACACCAACUAGCUAGACGCUCCAUUUCUAGUUACUUUUAUUAUUGUUUCUGGCUACUGGGGACCUAACUUUCUAUUAAAAAUUGGAGAAUUAAGUUAGAGCUGAAUUAUAAAACCAAGCAUUCUAAUUAUGGUUCAAUAAUAUAUUUCUUCGAGAAAUUAUGCUAAAUGAAGCACGCCUAUUGUUAUUCUAAACAAUCUGCUUAAUCUGUUAUAAAAACUACUAUUUUAUCCAAUGUUUUUUUAUACAACUAUAUAUAUAUUAAGUGUAGAUAUAUAUUGUAGAUAAUUAAAUUUAUCGUCGAAUCAUAUAGUUCCACAUAUAAAUUCAUGAUUAAAUAUUCAAUUAUAUUUUCUAUUUUGUUAAAAGAGAUGUUAUACUCCCUCCCAUUUUGUAUAAGAGUCAUUUUAGUCGUGUGCUGUAUAAAUAUUAAUGAAUAAAUUUUAUACCCAUCGUAACCUUAUUUAAUGAUAAUUUUCAUAUAUAAUAGUUAUAUGUGAUUAUUGAGCCAUCUUAACAAUCUUUUUUAAUAUUCAAAUUAUAACUCUUCGUUUUUAUCUCUGCGAGGAAAAUGAGCAAACUAAAAUAUGCUUUUUGUCAGGAAAUGAGCAAACUAAUGUAUUGCAACUAAAAUGUGAAAUGAGCAAACUAACUUUUGAUAUUCUUCUAAUGCUUAAUUUUGUCAGGAGCUAGCUUUCAUAUCAAUAAAAAAUAAUUGAUUUGUUAUUCAAAUUAAGGAACUUUGAAGAAGUUUGAUAGGAAAAAGUAAGAAAUAAGAGUUUGAAAUGGAGAGAAGGAGGGUUCAUCAAAUAUUGUGAGGAAGAGGAAGAAAUGAAAGAUAUUAAUGAUAGAGUUAAUUAAUGAAGUUAAAUUUGGAACAUAUAUCUUAAACUAUAUAUAAAAAGAAAUUAAUGAAGAACACUAAAAUGAUUUAUAUAAAAAAUGGGAGGGAGUAAUUAGUAUUUAAUACUCCCUCCGUCCAUGAAAGAACUUCUUAGGAGGGAGUAACACGAGUUUUAAGAAAGAAUAUUGUUGAGUGUAUUGAGAGUGGAUAAAAGGUAGUUGAGUGUAUUGAGAGUGGUGAAAAGGUGUUAUAAUUAAUAUCGGGAGUUGUGAAAAGUGAAAAGUAAGAGGAUUAUAAGUGGUGGUGUAUAGUCCAAAAAUAGGUAGGAAGUUCUUUUGUGGACGUCCCAAAAAGAAAAGAUAAGAAGUUCUUUCGUGGACGGAGGGAGUAUAAAUUAUUUUAUUUGUCCAUUAUUACCACCUAAACCCUAAAGCCCAUUAUAUAUAGGUC
rnacentral:lncRNA from 1 species